UACGGAGGGAGCUAGCGUUGUUCGGAAUUACUGGGCGUAAAGCGCGCGUAGGCGGCUUUGUAAGUUAGAGGUGAAAGCCCGGGGCUCAACCCCGGAAUUGCCUUUAAGACUGCAUCGCUUGAAUCCGGGAGAGGUGAGUGGAAUUCCGAGUGUAGAGGUGAAAUUCGUAGAUAUUCGGAAGAACACCAGUGGCGAAGGCGGCUCACUGGACUGGUAUUGACGCUGAGGUACGAAAGCGUGGGGAGCAAACAGG
rnacentral:rRNA from 1 species